AGAUCUUGGUUCGUAUCCAGUCGAAUGUGAUGAGAUGAAAAAGUUCACUGUUAUCUAUACUGUCAUGGUCGCGUUCUCAGCCAUUGCUACUCUCGUUUGCUUAUUCGCGGCCUUUAUUUACUUCAGGAUCUUGGGAUGGAUGUUACAUGUAAGUACAAAGACAAAAAAUAAUUAGCCAUUCCGAAGUUGAUGAGUGGACUGGGGACGAGUGUUAAAGUGCACAAAUAGAAAUGAACUAAAUCAUUAAAAAGACCACCUCAAAAUUAGUAAGUAUACAAAGUUUGAAGACGUUUACAUGAAUACCCUUCGAAUAAUAAGCUUUCGAAAGCGCGUCCCCAAAACAAAAAUUGCAAUACAUUUCAUAGUAAAUAUCGGAUUUUCGAAAGCUUAUUAUUCGAAGGAUAUUCAUGUAAACGUCUUCAAACUUUGUAUACUUACUAAUUUUGAGGUGGUCUUUUUUGUGAUUUGGUUCAUUUCUUAUUUUGGGCACCAGUCCACACAUCAACUUCGGAAUGGCUAAUUGUAUUCUCCGAUCCGAGUUCGUGUUAUCAAUUUUUCGUCUUAAUAUUUAGCAGAAAUAGACCCCAGAAUUGAAAUCCUUAUUUUCAAAUUAGUCUAGAAAAAUUUCAUGAUGUUUGUACAUUCAUGGCGCAAGUUACGGCGUUUUGAAAAUUGUGUCAGUUAUUGUUGUAUUUCCAGUCAGGCAAAUUUCGGGGGCAAACAUUUGACCAACCUCGUACCCAGGGUAUUACCUUCGCUCACCCCCUGUUGACAUUUGACUGCAAUUGCCACUGGAAAUACGCAGUAACCCACGCCCUCAUGAAUGUCCAAAGAUUGUGAAAUUUUCGAUAUAGACUAAAUUUGAAGACAUAUUAGAAUGUUAGGGUUUGUAAUCCAAGUGAGCAUAUAGGAACGACUGCGAAAAAUGCAGCACAAGGUCCUCUGGCAGGAAUAUUGAAUUGAACCUACGGCACUGCGAUUCCGGUGCAGCGCUCUAACCAACUGAGCUACAGAGGCCAGCUGUUGAGCUGUAACCGUAAGUUCAUGUUGUAUUUUUUCAGAUCAGUUAUGACGACCCAAUCGACGAUUAUUACGCCAAAGCAGUGAACAGUCAUUUCAUUAACGGUCACCAUGGAAGAGGACAGACAAAUGACGUAGCUCUUGGGGUAUAUCCUCAAUGAUGUCAUUACAUACCAACAUGACGUCGUCGUAAACUUGGAAUUCAGUAUAUUUUAAAGCCUGCUGGUUUCCAUACGGUCGUAACGGUAGUAAAGAUUGAGUCACGAUCAUUCUCAUCAGCCGAAAUACAACAUUUUAAAACUAAAAAUACGUGGAGUGAUUAUAACUAGAGAAUAUACUUAUGAUUUAUAUGUGGUUUACAGGUAUAAACUAUUAUAAACUGGCCGUUGAGAAAGAUCGUGGCUCUA